rnacentral:tRNA from 1 species
GGUAGCGUGGCCGAGCGGUCUAAGGCGCUGCGUUCAGGUCGCAGUCCACUUCUGUGGGCGUGGGUUCGAAUCCCACCGCUGCCA